UCGCCAAGUAGCUCUGAGUUAGGUAGCUAGCUAUAGCAUUAUACGAUUCCGCAGGUUAAACACACAUAUAUUUCCAUGCCUUUGCUCUAAGCCGCGUCAAUUCCAUUCCAUCAACACAAGAAGUGUCACUGAAGGAGUAAAGGCUGCAGGUACUCUAGCAAAACUGAAUCUCUAGCAGUAAGUCCUAACAACAAUUUCGUGGCAGCUGCUUGCAUGUCCCUCCUAUUUGGUAUUCCAUCCAUUUUAAAAUAUACUCCCUCCAUUCCAUUGCAAAUUGUAGGUCGUUUUAGGUUUUUAGUUCAUAAAUAUUAUUAUACAUCUAGAAAAGUCAAAACAACCUACAAUUUGGAAACGGAGGGAGCAGGACAUUGUAGUUUUGUUCUAAGUCAUACUUGUCCAACUUUAAUUGAUAGAUGUUGUAUGUUUAGCAACCUAAAUUAUGAUUUCAGAGAUUUGUUGCAAUCAUAUUGGGUUAUGUUUUUUUUGGCUAAGGAAGCAUUGGUGAACACCAGGCCCGAGCCCAUGGGAGUUAUUUAAUUGCACUAGUAUCGACUGAUAUCACCUGGUCUCGUUCUUGGUUCAUGUUUAAAGUUACAGCUAAAAAAAUACACGACCAACAUCAUCAUCUAAGGACAUGUAAAACACUUAUUUGGUCAUGUUUAAUAUAGUUUGUCUAGCUGUCUGUAAACUAUUUAAGGGCCCAUAUUGUAAAACAGUAAGGACGUCUCUCUCAUCUCUCGCCUAUCCUAUUCCUCUCUCUCUCCCCCGGAUCUGCAGGGUGAGGCGGCUCGACGCGGGCGACGCGGCAGCCAUCCCGUCAUGGACAUGGACUUGCCGACAACCACAUGGCUGGCCUUUGCUCUCUUCUUCAUCGUCGCACUAGCGACCAAGAUCACAAGACGACGACAGCAAUCUUCGGGUACUCCGACAAGGAAACGCCGCCCCCCUCCACCCGUGUCUCCGGGGGUCCCUCUCCUAGGCGACCUGCCAGCACUGCUCGCCAAGGGCACGUUGGAACUGAUCCGCGACCGCUACACGAGGCUGGGAAGCGUCUUCACCGUGCGCUUGCUCCACCUGAAGGUGACCUUCCUGGUCGGGCCGGACGUGUCGAGCCAUUUCUACCAGGGGUUCGACUCGGAGAUCAGCCAGGACGAGGUCUCCCAGUUCACCAUCCCCACCUUCGGCCCCGGCGUCGCCUUCGACGUCGACUACGCC
rnacentral:lncRNA from 1 species